AUGACCAAAGCAAUAUCAUUUUUGUUGUUUGUUUGGAAAAACUUACCUCCCUCACUACCCCCAAAUCCCCAGUUCACUAUUCAUCUUCGUCCUCCCUUUUAGAAUCCUCAAACCGCCGCUUGUUUCCUUUUGUGCCACCACUUCCCUGCAACUCCAGUCCCCUCGCUUGCAGCCACUGGGAGCAUUGACGCCUGCCACCGAGCCUCCACUGCUUGCGUUCCUUUAUUCCUCCGGACCCAUCAUCUGCUAACACUCAUAUUUGUUACUUCUCGUUGCUUGUUGCCUUCGUGACCAAUCAUGCCAUACUUACUGUCGUUGCGAGCAUCCACGCCUGCGGCCACUGCAAGCACUCACUCCCCGCAUCCUCUUACUACCUCCCCUCAUCUUCCCUAAGGAGUGUGCCAUGUACAACCAUACAUUUUUCUCUUUCCACUUGGUCUUCUUCGUCCUCUGCCAGAUUUCUCAGGAUAACUACAUAUAGUGCUACAUUCGAGAUGACUACAAACAUUGAAAAGAGUUCUUUGCAUAACAUAAUGUAAAAAAGCAUCCCUGAGUUUGCUGCAGAUAACGUGUAUUUUUUUCUGAUUAUGCGUGGGAAUCUAAUUGAAAUUCGCAGAAUGAAAGAAUCGGCUUGGCAGCUUUUGUGGCUUUCUUGCAUUGACAAAGGAAGAAAUGGUGAAGAUGUUGGAAAAACAAUCAUCAUUUGAAGGUGGACGUAAUAAGAAUGAAGAGGAGAUUAUGCAGCAUGUUAUCGGGAAGAAAUCAGGUUAUGUGAAGGGGGUUGGCGAUGCUAUGGUUGCUCCUGGAGCGUCUAGCAGGUAUUCUGGAAAGUCAUCAUUUGUCAAUCUCAAGAUGACAACCGUGUUUGAGCACCUUCUUGUACAAAGAGAUGCGGAGAAAGUGCUCAGAUUAAAGAAUUAAGCGAUGAAGUCGCGCAUGUGGAGAACAAGUCAAAGGUUUCUAAGUUUUAACCAUAGGAGGAAGAAAACAAUUUAAAAUGAGAUUUUAAGUGUCAAAAUUUAAAAUAUGCAUAUUUAGGUAAAAAAAUCAUGCACUAACACAACUCUCUUGUUUAAAAUGACACAAAAAAUGAAGUCGGGUAGCAAAUGAGCUAACGGUUUCCAAGUUUAAACCUUUGAAAGAAUAAAUAAGUUAAAAAAUGGGGUUCUAAGUUCUUAAAACUUAAGAUAUGCAUAUUUAAAUCAAAAAUCAAAAAUCAACAUAACUUUCAUGAGUAAAAUGAUGAAUAGGAACAAUCCAAAUGAAAAACAAUGGUUUCCAAGUUGGAACAUGAAACCAACAAAAUAUUUCAAAAUGGGGUUCUAAGUGUUUAAAAUUUAGAGUAUGCAUAUUUAAAUCAAAAUCCAUGCGCGGACACAACUCUCCUAUGUAAAAUGUUAAGUAGGAUCAACUUGUGUUAAAAAUGUCAAUUAUUUCUAAGUUUGAAAAAAUAAGUGAAAAAAUGGGGGCUUGAAUGUCCAAAACUUAGGAUAUACAUAUUUAGCUCAAAAAUUGUGCAUCAACACAACUCUAAUGAGUAAAAUGAGGCCUGAAAACAAGUGAUGUGAAAAACAGGUCAAUGAUUCCCAUGUAAAAAAUAACUCAAAAUGAGGUUCUAGGUACUUGAAAUAUAGAAUAUUAUCGGUGAAAAAUCGUUCUUUGAAAAAAAAAAUUAUAAAUAAAAUGAUGCAUAGGAACAAGUCAUGUAAAAAAUGGGCAAAUGAUUUUUCAAGUUUAAAAACAAUUCAAAAUUAUUUAUUAUUUGAGUUUUAGUCCUUUUAUUAUAGUUUUAGGUUACACUUGGUUUGCAGAAUGCCUAUUUUAGAUUAGUUUUAGUGCAUAAGUUACAAUUACUUGUUUUAAAAAUUAUGUUUCUACUAUAAAAUAAAUAAUAAUGCAAAACUUUUUAUGAGUAUAUAAUGAGGAAUAUAUAAGGAAUAACUAUUCGAAAAUAUCAUAGAGAUGUCUUAUUUCUUUCUUAUUACAUGUUGAUAAAAUGUAGAAACCUAAACCCAAAAAAUAAAAGAAGAGAGAAAUAAAGGAAAAGAAAGGAAAAGAAGGAAAAUUGGUUUGGCAUGACCUAAACCGUCGACGGUUUCACUGAGCUUAGGAAAACCAUUGACGGUUUCAGUUAACUCAGGAUGUUCAAUUGCCAAACCGCUGAUGAUUUUUUUAGUGCAGGCAAAAUCGUUGACGGUUUUCCUACAAGCCUGCUUACUUAAGGGCUAAGCAAUACAUAUUUUUUCAUAACUCAAAUAUUUCUCUCUCUCUCUCUCUCUUAGGGUUUUUGAACUCUCUCUCUCUACGCUCACUCUCUCGUGACUCUCUCUCCCCCGUAGGCUCACUCAGAGCCCGUCCUCGUACUCCGAUCAUCUCUCCCUCCUCUCUCGGCUUGCUAGUUCGUUUUCGGUGGCGGGAUUAGAAAAGCUAGGGUUUUCAUUUUCGGAAUGUUAACGGUUUAUUUUUCUGGAACAGGUAAAGGGAUUAAGUUGAGUUAGGUUUUAUCGAAUUUGAACCGUUAUAAUUGUGUUAUAUGUAUGUAUACUUAUGAUUUCAAAGGUUCUUUCAAAAACCAACCGGUCAAAGUGGGGUUUUAUAAACUAUGGUAUAUCGUAUGGUAUUUUGAAUGAAAUGAACGGUGGAAAUCUUGGUU